rnacentral:rRNA from 1 species
AUUGAACGCUGGCGGCAGGCCUAACACAUGCAAGUCGAGCGGACGAAGGGAGCUUGCUCCUGGCUUCAGCGGCGGACGGGUGAGUAAUGCCUAGGAAUCUGCCUGGUAGUGGGGGAUAACGUCCGGAAACGGGCGCUAAUACCGCAUCCGUCCUGAGGGAGAAAGUGGGGGAUCUUCGGACCUCACGCUACCAGAUGAGCCUAGGUCGGAUUAGCUAGUUGGUGGGGUAAAGGCCUACCAAGGCGACGAUCCGUAACUGGUCUGAGAGGAUGAUCAGUCACACUGGAACUGAGACACGGUCCAGACUCCUACGGGAGGCAGCAGUGGGGAAUAUUGGGCAAUGGGCGAAAGCCUGAUCCAGCCAUGCCGCGUGUGUGAAGAAGGUCUUCGGAUUGUAAAGCACUUUAAGUUGGGAGGAAGGGCAGUAAGUUAACACCUUGCUGUUUUGACGUUACCAACAGAAUAAGCACCGGCUAACUUCGUG